GUAGUUUAUAAAAAAUAUUAGCUUUGGGUGUUAAAGAAAUAAGAGAUUUUC
rnacentral:tRNA from 1 species